AUUGAACGCUGGCGGCAUGCUUUACACAUGCAAGUCGAACGGUAACAGGUCUUUCGGGAUGCUGACGAGUGGCGAACGGGUGAGUAAUGUAUCGGAACGUGCCCAGUAGUGGGGGAUAACUACUCGAAAGAGUGGCUAAUACCGCAUGAGAUCUCUGGAUGAAAGCGGGGGACCGUAAGGCCUCGCGCUGCUGGAGCGGCCGAUAUCAGAUUAGGUUGUUGGUGAGGUAAAGGCUCACCAAGCCGACGAUCUGUAGCUGGUCUGAGAGGACGACCAGCCACACUGGGACUGAGACACGGCCCAGACUCCUACGGGAGGCAGCAGUGGGGAAUUUUGGACAAUGGGCGCAAGCCUGAUCCAGCAAUGCCGCGUGCAGGACGAAGGCCUUCGGGUUGUAAACUGCUUUGUACGGAACGAAAGACCUUCUUCUAAUACAGGAGGUCAUGACGGUACCGUAAGAAUAAGACACCGGACUAACUAACGUGCCAGCACG
rnacentral:rRNA from 1 species